rnacentral:miRNA from 1 species
CAUUUCCUGUGCUCAUAGGCC